CAAAAGGUCCUUUUAAGGACCAAACACAUCUUUAAAAAAGAAAUCU
rnacentral:ncRNA from 1 species